CAAUUUCCCAAAGAUAUCUAAUCUGCCAAAUACACAAAUGCAAGAGUCAUACGCAAAUAUCCCCCAUCCCUUUCCUCUUUACGAUUCAAAUACACAGAAACCCUAAAUUUUGAGCAUUAACCUUGAUAAACAGUCGCAACAGUCAACCCCCUCCCCCCGCUCUAUACCUCUAUAAACAAUCGGCGGAAUGGUGGUCAUGGUCGGAUGUUGCCGGUGGUGGAGCGGAGGAGAUUGAUGACGAUAACUGUGGCGGCCUUUGAGGAGGUUAGAGGUGGUGAUCCGAUGGGCGUGUAUGAAGGUGUUUGCUGGCGGCUGUUGGUGGUGUACGGAUACCUAAGUAACACAAGAGGCACAGAUGCAACAACUUAGUUCUAAUCUUCCAGAGGGCUCGAUCGAUAAGCCUGGACCAGAUGAUGUUUUUUCAUAAGUAAUGGGUAAUGAUCGAAAUGGUUAUGAGGUUAUGUAUGGCCUGGGUGUUCGUGCUGCUGAUGUUUGGGGUGUAAUACCAAGUCGUUCGGCAUGUCAUAGAGAAAACAUCCAAUUGAAGUCUCAAUGUGAAGAACUUACUAGUACUGUGGUCCUGUCCAGUUACGAGCCCAAGUAUCAGAGAUGGAAGGGUCGAGGGGUAGUUCCAGUGUUCAACCUCUUGCAUCACAACAUUUCCCCAAUGUAACCAACGCACAUCAAUGUUUAUGGGUCGGAGAUGAAGUUUUCCUCAAAAGCAUUCUAAACUCUACCAAGACUGUAGCAAGAGGAAGGGUCCAGAGCUUGGACCCAAAUGAUCUAGUUGGUGGUACAGAGAUUGGACCAUAAUGGUGUGAGGUAAACGUUCAAGUACCAAUAAAAAAAGAUGAAAACUUGGUAAGACCAUAUGGUUUAUUUUCUACAAUUCAAGAUUGUAUUGGUGCAUCCAUCGCAUGGCCCUAUCCAUUCAUCUCGUAGUCCAUGAGGAUUGAGGACGCAUGAUGACUCAAGAUUUUUUGCUUCUUAUUUCUUUAAUUGCUUUUAAUUUCUUUGUUAAAUGUUAAGACUUUAUGUUAGAUAAUGUUAUAACUUAUUUAUGGUUAGUGUUUUUGUUAUGAACAUGCUUAUUUGAAAUAUAAUGAUUCUUUUAUUA